GAUGAACGCUGGCGGCGUGCCUAAUACAUGCAAGUCGAGCGAACGGACGAGAAGCUUGCUUCUCUGAUGUUAGCGGCGGACGGGUGAGUAACACGCGGAUAACCUACCUAUAAGACUGGGAUAACUUCGGGAAACCGUAGCUAAUACCGGAUAAUAUGUUGAACCGCAUGGUUCAAAAGUGAAAGACGGUCUUGCUGUCACUUAUAGAUGGAUCCGCGCUGCAUUAGCUAGUUGGUAAGGUAACGGCUUACCAAGGCAACGAUGCAUAGCCGACCUGAGAGGGUGAUCGGCCACACUGGAACUGAGACACGGUCCAGACUCCUACGGGAGGCAGCAGUAGGGAAUCUUCCGCAAUGGGCGAAAGCCUGACGGAGCAACGCCGCGUGAGUGAUGAAGGUCUUCGGAUCGUAAAACUCUGUUAUUAGGGAAGAACAUAUGUGUAAGUAACUGUGCACAUCUUGACGGUACCUAAUCAGAAAGCCACGGCUAACUACGUG
rnacentral:rRNA from 1 species